GUCGUAACAAGGUUUCCGUUGGUGAACCAGCGGAGGGAUCAUUACAGAGUUGCAAAACUCCCAAACCAUUGUGAACGUUACCUUUACCGUUGCUUCGGCGGGCGGCCCGGGUCCUGCCCGGCGCCCCUCGGCCCUCGCGGGCGCCCGCCGGAGGUAAACCAAACUAUUGCAUUGUAUGGCCUCUCUGAGUCUUCUGUACUGAAUAAGUCAAAACUUUCAACAACGGAUCUCUUGGUUCUGGCAUCGAUGAAGAACGCAGCGAAAUGCGAUAAGUAAUGUGAAUUGCAGAAUUCAGUGAAUCAUCGAAUCUUUGAACGCACAUUGCGCCCGCCAGUAUUCUGGCGGGCAUGCCUGUUCGAGCGUCAUUUCAACCAUCAAGCCCCCGGCUUGUGUUGGGGACCUGCGGCUGCCGCAGGCCCUGAAAACCAGUGGCGGGCUCGCUAGUCACUCCGAGCGUAGUAGUUUACAUCUCGCUCAGGGCGUGCUGCGGGUUCCGGCCGUUAAAAGCCUUAUUUUACCCAAGGUUGACCUCGGAUCAGGUAGGAAGACCCGCUGAACUUAAGCAUAUCAAUAAGCGGAGGA
rnacentral:rRNA from 1 species